rnacentral:rRNA from 1 species
UACGUAGGGUGCAAGCGUUGUCCGGAAUUAUUGGGCGUAAAGAGCUCGUAGGCGGUCUGUCGCGUCUGCUGUGAAAACUCAGGGCUUAACCCUGAGCUUGCAGUGGGUACGGGCAGACUAGAGUGCGGUAGGGGAGACUGGAAUUCCUGGCGUAGCGGUGAAAUGCGCAGAUAUCUGGAGGAAUACCGGUGGCGAAGGCGGCAUCCUGGACCGGCAUUGACGCUG